rnacentral:SRP_RNA from 20 species
UGUUGGUUCUCCCGCAAUGCUACUCUGUUUACCAGGUCAGGUCCGGAAGGAAGCAGCCAAGGCAGAUGACGCGUGUGCCGGGAUGUAGCUGGCAGGGC